rnacentral:rRNA from 1 species
GAUGAACGCUGGCGGCGUGCCUAACACAUGCAAGUCGAACGGAGUCCAGCCUUUAAGACCUUCGGGUCAAAGAGGGGAAGACUGAGUGGCGGACGGGUGAGUAACACGUGGGCAACCUGGCUCAUAGAGGGGGAUAACAGAGAGAAAUUUCUGCUAAUACCGCAUAAGCACACCCUGCCGCAUGACAGAGGGUGAAAAGAGAAUCGCUAUGAGAUGGACCCGCGUCUGAUUAGCCAGUUGGCAGGGUAAGAGCCUACCAAAGCGACGAUCAGUAGCCGAUCUGAGAGGAUGAACGGCCACAUUGGGACUGAGACACGGCCCAAACUCCUACGGGAGGCAGCAGUGGGGGAUAUUGCACAAUGGGGGGAACCCUGAUGCAGCGACGCCGCGUGAGUGAAGAAGUAUUUCGGUAUGUAAAGCUCUAUCAGCAGGGAAGAUAAUGACAGUACCUGAAUAAGAAGCCCCGGCUAACUACGUG